AUCAAACCUUUUGGAAACACAAAAGCAUCUCCCUUAUUCAGAACUUUUGCGAUGAGUUUGUUAUUUAGCUGGUCUGAUGUCACAAAACCGACAUGAAGAGUUCCUUCCAGGACCAGCAGGAUUUCACUGGCACGGGGGUGAAUAUGAGGUGGCCUUUGGCCGUAUGGCGCAUAGUCAAUGCGGAAUGCUGAUAUGCCAAGGGUGUUGAGGCCUGGAAUUUGCUCAACAUUUGCAUCUGUUUCAUCAACACCAAGUCGAUUUGCUGUGUUUCCAGGCUUGUCUAGCCCUGAGAAGAAGAAAUCAUCUGCUCUCGCAAGCUUGGGGUCCUUGCAGAACUUCCCAUUCACAAACACUACAAGAACACACACACAUACACACACAAAGGGGGAAAAAAAGAAUAAUUAAGUAGCAGCACAAAUUAUAUUGAAAUUUAUAUGUUUCGUUAGUUCAGCUUACGUACCACCAUCCUUCGGGUCCUCGAUGGCUACACAGAUAUCUUGUAGAGGGCUAGGGUCAGAGGCAGAGGCCAAAGAAGAAGCCAAAGCCAAGAGAGCAAAACCUAUAAGAAAUUGAAUUGCCUUCAUGGUGAUUAAUUAACAGGAUGUACCUAUCUCAAACUUUAAUCAAGUGUUGUGAUUUGAGAAUAUUGCGAGGCAAACUAGACUAUUUAUAGAACGGAGUCCGUGAACGAGUUUGCGUGUUCAAUUAAUUAGUCCUCGAAGCCGGUCAAGAUUACUGAGUUCUCAUUGGUUAUCUUUGUAAUGUUUCUCAGCCUUCAUUUUCAUUUUUGUUUUCAAAAUUUACACAUCUUAAAUAUAAAUUGUAAAACGUACAAAACAAAGUCUGGCUGACAGUGAUAAAACCCAGACAGGUUAGACACGUUUCCGCCAAUCUUCAAAGCGAACCAUAAAAUACGAUAAGAAACAAUAUUUUAACGCGUUUUCCAAAGCUUAAUUUAAAUAUAAUUUUUUCAUUGGAAAGAAACGAGUUGAAGAAUUUAUGAAAAUGGGUGAGAAAGAAAUUCAUGUCUCUAGCAACAGACUAACAGUUCGGAGUCAUGUUCUGUAGAUGUCGAUGUUACCGGACUUGAUUGGUUUGUUGUUGGACUUAAUGAAGAAGCAUUAUUAGCCUUUUUUUUUUCUUUUUCAUAGCAAUUUUCGUAGCUGCUUUAACCAUUUUUAGUUCUAUCAAUGCUUUACCGAGUCAAUGAUGCACAUGUUUUUUUCAUUACAUGUUAAAGUCACAAAUCAUCUGCUUCAAGAAAAAACGUGAAGACUAUGAUCAGGAGGAACCAAAAGUCUUCUAUCUUAUUUUCAGUGGUCACGUUAAUUAGAAGCUGGAGUCGGCACGUUUUGUUAGAGAUAGUGAAAUCCUUUUACAGUGUCAAUUGAUAUAUAUCAUUUCAACUUUAAAAGUUAAUUUUAAUAUUUGAUAAUUUUUUUUAAAAUCGCUUUUAGUAAAAUCAUGUAGAUCUUGAAAAGUAAAAAAAGAUUAGUUUUUUAAAAUUUGAUUUCGAUGAUCACUUUUAUACUUAAUACAAUUUCAUAUAUAUCCUUAUGUAUAAGAAAAAUCCAAAAUCAUCCUCAUUAAUUAGAAAAUAAAAUUAUUAAUUUGAAAGAGAUUAUUUGUAUUACCAAUUAUAUUGAGAUAACAAGAUAAAAAUAAAAUUAAUAAUGUAAAUAUUUAUUUUAGUUAUCAAUUUUUAUAUAUACACACCUAAAAAUAUUUUAUUUACAUGUUUAUAAAUUUGUAAAUAAAUUUUAUCCAACAAAUGUUCACUUUAAUCAUUUACAUUCUUACAACAUUUUAACAGUAAGAUUUACCAAAUACAUACGACUACUUUUAAAACCCACACACUUUUAAAAAUAAAUUUUACUGAACGUUUAAUUGGUUCUCUAUUAUAGCUGAUUAUUUCUACAGUAUGACUAACAGUAAUUAUUUUACAAGUUAUAACAUUAUUAAACUAGCCCAUAGUGACUCAAUUGAUUAAAACUAAGUCAAUUAAAUCACUAAGUUAGGAAAACAAACCGCCCUUUAGUAAAUUUCUUAAUGUAAAUAUUAGUAAAUUAUGAUGGAAAUAAAAAUAAUAAUCUCUUCCUUUGUUCACCUUUUAAUUAAAAUCCGUUUCAUUAGCUAUUUUGAAUAACAAACUGAAUUGAUCACGAAAUAAUAAUCUCUUUUUCCAAUCAUAAUCAUUUGUAAGGACAUUAAUUAUGUAUUUUUAAUGGGUUCAUAUGUUAAUUAUAUUGUAUACCGUUUGUCAACCAAACUGGCAACCAUUUUAUUGGUUAAAAUUCAUUCAUAUCAGUAUUUAAGAUACGCAUCACUUUCUAGCAACAAUGCGUCAAUGUUAUAUAUGUUCCCGUUCAAACUUUCCACUUGCUGCUUCACCCAUGUAAGUUAUGAAAAAGUUGCUGAGAAAAUGAAAAAAUAAACCAUGGCCAUGAAAAUAAUAAAACGCCGCCAGCCGUUUAGUAUAAUUCUAGGAGCGAUUUAUCAUUUCUUUUUCCUUUUUGCUUUUUAUUUCAACAAUUUAUUAUUGACUAGUGUAUUGCAGGCUUGCAUCAAUGAAGUGUUUGGAUCAUUUAUCCCCUUUUUUUCAAAUAUAAUUCAGAUAUAAUUCUAGAUUAUGCUGGUAGAAACAUCGUCUCAAAGAUUCUAUUGGGUCAUCAAUAGCUGUAUAUGAGUAUAUCUUGAAGAGGGCUACUUUUUCUAGGAUAUGCUGCUAGAAAAUUUUGCAACACGUAACCACUACGAGUUAGUCUUUUUUGUUUAAUUAAGACUCUAAUCUCCCUUUCUAGAAUGCAAGAUAAAAAAUUAAGCUAGAAACGUUAUAUCAAAAUAAUGAAUAGUUACUAAUUUUUGUCAAAUAUAAUUCUAGACAUUCUAGUCACACAUUUUACCAUUUAGUCCAUAAAUUUUCAAAGUACAUAUUAUAUUUCUAAUAUUAUACUUUUAUGUUCAAAUUACUCUGUUGAAUUAUACAUGCGGCUUUUUAACAUAUUAUCCGCUGUGGGUUUAGAUUUAGUAAUGGCAAACCCGCUGCGGGUGCUGCCUAUUGCUAUCUCUAGCCGUGUACUUUUUUUUUCCUUUUAACUACAUUGAUGGAAAGCUGAAUUUUGACUUUUUAUAUUCUGACGAUCCUUCCUUGUACUUCAGUAUGAAGGAAUACGAAGAGAGGGCUGUAUCUUUGGCAUUGGAUCGGCAAAAGCUCCAGGCCCUCACCAAUAAACUUAAAUCAGUACGCUUGACAUGUCCUCUAUUUGACACAGCACGAUGGAUGAGUUGAAACUAAUGUUUGCGAUUGUUUUGCAGUUCUUGGCCCACUUUGUGAAAGAAGUGACUUACAAAUGGAUGCUUUUUUUUUUGGAAAUUGCAAGUCAAGAAUCUGGAGAGGUCAUAUAUCAAAAUGUGGAGUCUCCAUUGCUCUGGGCAGAAGCCCCAACACUUCAAAGUAACUGAGAAUGACUUGGACUUCCCUUGCGAUAGAUAGGUAUAUGGGAAGGGAAACGGGAUUGUAGAUAAAAGCAAAUAGGAAUAGUAGAACGAUGAUUAUUAUUGUAUUUAGAAGAAGAAAUUGUUUCACCUUAUUCAAAUGACGCCAUGGCUGAGUUUGUGAUGUCAGUGCUGAUAAUGGAUUGUAGUCUGUGUACAAAUGUACUUUUCUAUUUAUAAGGAUUUGUGAAAAACGUUGGAGAUUAGAAAAGAAAAUAAAUAGAUUCUUCCUCAAGCCAUCAGUUCUGUUCUAUUAGAGUUGGGACCAGUGGCACCUCCCUAAUCUCAUCAUCAAAUUCCUUCUUCAGUUAUAUUUAUUUCAUCUGUGAAAACGUCGUUUUUUUUCCUUUUUUUUAAGAACACUUUUAAUUUUUAUUUUAUUUUUUUAGUUAAAAGUAGUAUUGUGUUAUUAAUUUUUAUUUCUUUUGUAAUCUUAUUAUUAUCUUAUGCACAAGAUAAAAGAUUUUUUAGGUGACGAGUUUUUCAAUAUUAAUUAUUUAAUUAAAUUAUACAUAUGUUAAAUUAUAAUUUAAAAAUAAAUUUAAGUAUAAAAAUAUUUAAUCGAUAACAAAUCUGAAAAUAAUAAUAGAUUAUUUCAAAUUUUGUAUGGUUUAUUUUAGUUAGAUAAGAAGUAACCGGUACAAAAUUUUAAAAAAAAAAAGAUUGAUUAUAAUUGUAAGUAAUUUUUUUUUUUAAAAAGAUAGAUUAUCAAUAUAAGUGAUUUAUUGAAAAGAAAAAUUUGUGUAUGAUUAAUUUUAUUUGAAGCAGGGUUUUUGAAGGAUAAUGAAGGGGUCCCAAACACUGUGGAGUUGUUGGCUCUUCCGCUGUCAAAGUCACGUAUGCUUGGAAGCUUUUAACCACCGCUGUCAAAAGUCACGUAUACUGCAAUUGGAUCAUGGAUUUUUCAUUUAAUAAGAUAACCACCGGCGGCAACUCUGAUAUACAAAAACAUGUAUUUCAGAUUACGGAAUCUAUCCAAACAUAUAGCAUGCGAGUGCGAUUACCAGCUCGAGCAGUUUUUAUUGCGGAAUUCUUUCAAACACAUAGCACGCAUGUGAAGUUCCCACAUUGGACCUUCCAAGAUGUUAGUUUCUCUAUUCAGAAACCGAACUCAAUGCCUCAUCCCCUCCUUCAAAACCAUGACCACCGCAGCCGCGGCUAAAACCUCAAAAGACGAUUACUUCGCAGCCGUAAACCACAUCGCCAUCAUAGUCCGUCACUACAUAUAUCCAGAACGCACCCUCAACAGACUCAACCUCACCCUCACCUCAGAGCUCGUCUACCGCGCCUCCGCGUCUGCCACACUACUUGCCCUUCCAAAUCCCUCCGCUUCUUCACCUGGGCCCGCUCCCAGCCCCAAUACUCCCCCACUUCCCUCGAAUUCGAACAGCUCAUCUGACCCUCGCCCACCACAAACUCUACCAGUCCAUGUGGAAUCUACGUUCUUCUGGCAUUUGAUUGCGUUCCACCCAAGCACGCUGUUAUUUAUUUUUAAGAAAUAAUGGUGUUUGUAAUUAUUGUCUUUUCUGGCUUUAUCUAGAGUUUAUCUGAGAAAUAAACAGUCAUAAAUAGUUUUGGUUGAUGGACUCUUGGACUUGGUAUUGGAAUUUGGAUUGAAGCAGAGGCGGUUGGCUCGGAGAAAUGAUUACUUUGAACAUUUUUUGCAUGCAUGUAUUUUAUGAUUUUUCAUUUGCUUCUAACCUUGUUGUUCAUUCAAAUGAAAUCAAAUACUCAUUUGGUAUGAUAGAAUCAGUGGGCAAUCAUUUUUAUUUUAGCUUAAAAACCAGGUUAUCUUUGCAUAGCUAUAGUUUUAUAGUUUCUGUUUCUGUGCUUUAUGCUUUCAAAUACUGAUGAUGAACCGAGUGUUUAGCCCAGAGCAAGCUUUCGGGUUUAAGGACAUUAAUUUGCAGCUGAUUCAGCGGUUACACAUACAAUGAUAAAAAUGUGUACCCAAACGCACAGUUUAUGAGCAUGUCUCUCACUGUAUACACGAUUGAGAGUGGGUCCGCCUCCUACUUUAUAACAAUUUAUGUUAGAGUAAUGAUACAGCUACAAACUCUUGUACAAACUUAUUUUGUACAAACUGACGUGGCAUUAAUUCAUUGGUUGAAUGAAAAUAUAAAAUAGUAAAAACAAAUUAUGUGGGCCAAGUGAUAUUUAAUUCAACCAAUCUUAUCAUGCCACAUCAGUUUGUACAAAAUAAGUUUGUACAAGAGUUUGUGGCUAUAUCAUUACUCUUUAUGUUAUACUGACAAUAUUUUCCGCAGUGAUCGCAUGUUUGAAGUUUUGCUUCUCGAAAUGGCUCCUUUCAUUUUUUUCUUUAUUAAAAUAGACAAUUUUCGUUUUUCGUUUUCGACAAGGAAGGUAACUGAUAUGUUUAACGAAGGGAUGAUGUUUUCCUUCAAAAAAUAGUUCAGAGUUAUCGGUAGCGUCUUGUCUUUAAUUUUCUGAACUCCGUGCAGUUGGUGUAAUAGUUUUUGCUGUUCUUCUCUUUGCGGCUAGUGCCUAGAGAGAUGGAGAGAAGCUGAAUGUGAACUAGGAAGGUGGAAAUGUUGUACAUUAACAUACGUAAUCAACUACGACUAUAAAUCCUUUUCAUGGACCCAAAACAUCAUAUCAAUCAAUGCCAUUAUAGUUAUCAAAACUAAAAAAUUAUGGCUUUUGAUAAGUUACAGCUUGUUGUAAGUUUUUGUCCUUACAAAAACAUACAAAAAAUAGUAAUAUGACAGUGAGCACACUUAAUUUUUGUAUGGGCUGUAAAUUACGCUAACUUAGUGUAACUAAAUGUAUUAUAAGAAAGACAAAAUUUAUUGAUUUUUUUCUUAACUAAGUGAUUAGAAUACAUUUACUCAUAAUUAUCGAAGCAGAAAUUAAGUGAUAAUCAAGGGCUUGUAAAACACUUAAUUUCAAACCUCUAAAUUUGAGAACUAUAACAAUAAGAGAAGUUAAGUAACAAUUAAGUGCUUAUAAAACGAUAACUUUUAUUAUAGGUAAAGGAGAUAUGUAUUCAAUAACUAACCACAGGCUGAAGCUCAUCUCAUAUGAAUACUAUUGUGCGAUAGAGAUUACAAUUGUAUGACAAAUGACCCUUGAUAAAUUUAGACAACUAGUAGAAAUUAGAAUUUAAAUUUUUUAUUUUUAAGUUUUUCCAAUAUUCCAAUGUUAAACAUUUAAUUAAAAUUAAAUAAAUCUUAAGGAUAUAUAAAAUCAUGUUUUUAUAAUAGGCCUAAAACGAAACUUUAGAAAAUACAUUUUUUAUGUUAAUUUCUCUUAUACAUUUAUCUGUUACAUACAAAUAUGAUAUGAAUGAGUGAUAAACUCUUUCAUAAAUUAUAUAUUUGACAAGACCAAACCAAAACUUCCACAAAAUAAAUAAUUAAUUAGUUAAUCCAAAACUACCUCGGUUAAUCUGUUAAAUGUUGAAUGUGUUUGAAUAAAGUAAUUUAUAACAAUUUUAAACAAAAUAAAUUUGGUCUAUUCUAUAUUUCAGUCGUCAAUGAGAGUUCUUUUCACCCUUCAACUACUGGACUCUCGCAAUUUAGAGUUAUCAUUUUUAUUAUUAUUGUUAUUGGUCAUAAUUUUAAAAUUUGUUGGGAAAUCUGCGGAAUUAUAUAUUAAACAUCUAAAUUAAUAAUAUGUAUGAAAUAAAUGGCAUCCCACACAAAUAUAAACAAUAAUUUUACUUGAAUUAAACACCCAAAUCCUAUAUUAUAAUAUUAUGCAUAAUUAAACUUACACACUAGACCAUUUUAUUAUAAUUUGGACUUGUGAAGUAUAUUAUUCACUCAGAUUUAUCAACCGUAGAUCACUUUAUCAAACCAUGAUUAUUGUAGAAUUAAAAAAGUUACUGCUUGUCAACUGUAAAUGGACGAACUGUUUAUACUCACCCUUUAUAUAAUUGUGUAAUUAAUUAAUCUUUGUAUAACUCAAAAUUAUUGUUUACUCUAUCAAUCUUAAUGAAUUGAAAGUAGAUGGUUUUAAUUUGCAAAUGUUUUUGCUUCUAUAUUUGUAACUAUUUUUAUUUAAAAAAAUUCAUUAAACAAAUAAAGUUGACCAAAGCAUUCUCCAAAUGCCGACCGUUUUAAUUGACAAAGCUUAAAAACUUUUAAGGAAAUUGGGGCAGAAUAAAUCCUUGAUUAUGUGUAAACUGAUAACCUUCAAAAACCAUUUAAAUUGCCUUUCUAAAGUAUUCUAAUCCAAUAUUUGCUAUAUGAUUUCGAACCAAGUUCGAUUUGUUCAAUUCAUGAUUAAAUGGCAAAGAUAAUAUUUUAAGGAGUUGAAAUAGUUCCACUUUAUUAAUAACUCGGUACAAACCUAAUAAAAAUGAGGAUAUUGGAGUCUCUCGCUCCCCUUGUAUUUGAGAGUAUUUUCGCUUAUUUAUUUAUUAUUUUAGAUUUCUAUGCUGCGUUUAUCUAGUUUAUUAAAAAAAAAGGAAGAUCCUCCUUCGAAAAAUUUCACAAAUUCCAUGCGAGUUAAGUAAGAACUACGCCAUUCAUUAUUUUUAUAUAUGCGGAUACAAGUUGAUCAUAUAUAUAUAUAGAGAGUAACUAAACUAUGUCUUCAGGCAACUAGUUAGCCCCGAACUUUGCUUGAAGAGCUUUCACUACAUAAGGAUCAAGUUGGAAUGCCCUGGCGAGAGCAUAAGGAUCAAUUGGUGGAUCUGAUCCGAAGACUACAUCUGCAAUUGUAAUAACACCAGGAUUCUGGCUACUCAAAGCAGCGAUGGCAAACAGCGUUGGUUGGUCGAAUAUUCACUUGGAAAUGAAUGAGCCCAUUUGGAAACACAAACACAUCUCCUUUGUUCAGGGCUCUGGUGAAGUGUGUUCUUUAGCUGGUUUGAUGUCACAAAACCAACAUAGAGAGUGCCCUCUAGGAUUACUAGGAUUUCUGGGGCACAAUGAUGAGAGUGAUGUGGGUUUGGCCGCUGUUUGCCGCGUAGUCGAUACGAACUAUAGAUAUGCCGAGUAGUGUUGUGCCCUGGAAUCUGUUCUACAUUUGCAGUUGUGACUGUUGAGCUAACUUGAUUCGCUACGCACCCAUGACUGUCUAUUUGUCCCAAAGACAAUAGAUUUUUUUUUAGGCCAUUGACAUGUCGUACCUCCCCAAUUGUGCUUAAUCAUUUUAAUGCCAAAGAGUUUUAAUGAGUUUUGAAACGUAAGGAGAAAAAUAAUAAAUCUACUAGAACAAUAGGAAGAUUUUGAUCAUUUUCCCACUGAUAUAAAGAAAAACGAUACACACCACACGUCUUGAUCUUGAAAUCGUUGAUGGCGACACAAAAAUCCUGAAGACGGCUAGGGUCAGAGGCAAUGGCCAAUGAACAAGCCAAAACCAAGAGAACAGAAGCUACAGGAAAUUGAACUCCUUUCAUGUUGAUUAGCCACAUGCAAUUAGGGAUGGCAAAAAUUCCUACGGGGACAGGUACCCUCGGGGAUUUUCCCCAUUCAGGGAGGGUAUGGGAAUAAUUUCAUACCCAAUUUCUUAUUCGAGGAAAGGAAGGAGAAAUUUUUUUACCAAUUUCUUAUUCGGGGAGGGGACAUGGAUGAGGUGGAAUCCUCAUCCCCUACCCGUUUUCCCAUUUUAAUUUUUAAUUUUAUUAUUAUUUUUUAAAAUUACUAGUAAAUAAAUAAUAAAAUUUGAAUUAUAAAAUUAUAAAUAUUGGUAAAAAUAACAAAUAUCAAAAUAUUUAUAUUAUUAAACUUUUAGGCUUAAUUAACUAAUUAAAGUUCUAAAUUUUUAUUUAGGACAUUAAAAAAACCGGGUAAAUUCUAUUAGCCCAAAAAUUUUGUUUUAAUUUUAAUAUUCAUUAAAUGUUUUAAACUUAAAUAUAUUUUUUAUUUAUUUUUAGAUGUUAUAAUUGCCCACAGCGAAUCACAAUUUUAAUAUCUAAUUUAAUCUAAUAUUUGCUCUUGAUUUGCUCCGACUUAACUAUUGUGUUGUAAAGGGAAUAGUCCACAUUUAUAAAGUGCCAUGCCACCAUUGAAAAAGUUAAUUUUGAAUCUAAAUUCGAUUUUAUUUGUAACAAUUUUGUAUUAGACUAUUAAUUUAUUCAUGAUAGUUUGUAAAAGAAGUUUGUAUCCCUUACAUGCUGCGUUACUUACUAAUUUAAUGUAUGUGACUUUUGUAAUAGAUAUUAAUGUAAGAUAUAUUUCAAACUUUACUUUUAUUUUAAUAUGAUUAACUCAAAAUCAAAAACAAAAAAUGUAUUAGUUAUUCGGGGAUUGAGGACCCUUGGGGAUCCCCUAUUAUUAUUCGGGGAGGGGAUGUAGAUUCUCUCAAGUAAUUCUGACGGGGACGGGGACAUACGCAAAAUAUCAGGGAUGGGUACGGGGGGAUUGGUCCCCUCCCCUCCCCUCCCCAUUGCCAUCCCUACAUGCAAUUGCUUGCUACAUGCAUGCAAAUGUUCAACAUUAUGUGUGAUUGCUCUUAUCAAGCGACAUCAACUAGUCAUCUACCAAUUGAUCUUGGGGCUCAAUAGAAUCUGUUUCACAUCAGAUUUUGCAUAACAAAAAGUAAUGAAGAGAUUAAUUAAUAUAUGUGUGUGUGUGUGUGUGUGUACGGAAAAAAUAUAUGUAUAAGGAGAGGCAUGGGAAAGGCUUAGCUGCUAAAUAAAACCAACCAUAAAUUAUGUUUAUUACAUGGCUACAAUCAGCCUGAAGAGAGGUUCAUGAGAGAGCUUUUUUUUUACAUUAAUUAAGAUAUGAUAAUCUAGAGCUAAAACAAUAAAGCCACUAGUGAAGAGGCCAUUUAUAUUAAAAGCUCAUUAAUUCCUUCUCCUAAUCGCCAUUAAUGAACUUAUGCUGAAGAUCUUUCACUGUCUUCGGGAGAGGCCAUUUAUAUUAAAGCUCAUUAAUUCCUUCUCCUAAUCGCCAUUAAUGAACUUAUGCUGAAGAUCUUUCACUGUCUUCGGGUCCAACUGGAACGCCUUGGCAAGAAAAUCGGGAUUGAUUGGAGGAUUAGCUCCAAAGACCGCGUCGGCUAUGGUAAUUUCACCGGGGAACUGGCUGUUUAGAGCAGAAUAGGCAACUGCAUUUGUUUUUCCAAUGUUGAAUUGGAAAUGAAUCAAACCAAUUGGAAACACAAAAGCAUCUCCCUUAUUCAGAACUUUUGAGAUGAGUGUGUUAUUCAGUUGGUCUGAUGUCACAAAACCGACGUGAAGAGUUCCUUCCAGGACCAACAGGAUUUCACUGGCACGGGGGUGAAUAUGAGGUGGCCUUUGGCCAUAUGGCGCAUAGUCAAUACGGAAUGCUGAUAUGCCAAGGGUAUUGAGUCCUGGAAUUUGCUCCACAUUUGCAUCUGUUUCAUCAACACCAAGUCGAUUUGCUGUGUUUCCAGGCUUGCCAAGCCCGGAAAAGAAGAAAUCUUCUGCUCUCGCAAGCUUGGGGUCCUUGCAGAACUUCCCAUUCACAAACACUACAAGAACGCACAACACAUACGCACAAAGGGGGGGAAAAAGGAAUAAUUAAGUAGCAGCACAAAUUAUAUUGAAAAUUAUAUCUUUCGACAGUUCAGCUUACUUACCACCAUCCUUGGGGUUAUUGAUGGCUACACAGAUAUCUUGAAGAGGGCUAGGGUCAUAGGCAGAGGCCAAAGAAGAAGCCAAAGCCAAGACAGCAAAACCUAUAAGAAAUUGAAUUGCCUUCAUGGUGAUUAAUUAACAGGAACUUUAAUCAAGUGUUGUGAUUUGAGAAUAUAGCGAGGGAACCUAGCCUAUUUAUAGAACGGAGUCCAUGAACGAGUCUGUGAGUUCAAUUUCUUAGUCCUCGAAGCAGGAGAAGACUAACAGAGUCCUCAUUGGUUAUCUUUCUUAGGGCCUGUUCGGUAAUUUUUUCCUCUCAUCUUAAAACAUAAUUUUUUCCUCUCAUCUUCUUCCUCUCUCUCUCUCCCUCGUCGUCAAAUCUUAUCUCUAAGUGUCUCAUCUUCUUCCUUUCUCUCCCUUACCAAGUUAUACACGUUACUGCUUUUUCCUUUUUUCUCGAUCAUUUUUUCAAUUGACAUUGUGCUUUCCUUCAAUUUACUCAACUCAUUGGAAAGAAACGAGUUGAAGAAUGUAUGAAAAUGGGUGAGAAGGAAAUUCACGUCUUUGGCAACAGACUAACAGUUGAGAGUCAUGUUCUGUAGAUAUCGAUGUUUCCGGACCUGAUUGGUUUGUCGUUGGACUUAAUGGAGAAGCAAGAUUAGGCUUUUUUUUUUUUUUCUUUUCAUAGCAACUUUCGUAGCUUCUUUAACCAUUUUUAGUUCUAUUAAUGCUUUACCAAGUCAAUGAUGCACGUGUUUUUUUCAUUACGUGUUAAAGUCACAAAUCAUCUGCUUCAAGAGAAAACAGACUAGGAUCAGAAAGGAACCAAAAGUCUUCCAUCUUAUUUUCUGUGGUCACGUUAAUUAGAAGCUGGAGUCGGCACUUUUUGUUAGAGAUAUCCUUCUACAAUCUCAAUUGAUAUAAUAUCAUUUCAACUUUAAUGGCUGCCCGAGGUUUACCGACCGGCUAGCUCAUUAUUUUUUUGAUAAAAAUUAGUUACCUUCGUUUGUUAUAUAAUCAGGGGGAUAUUGGAAUAAAAGAGAAUGGAAAAUGCUAAGUAUCAAGAAGAAUGAGAGAAAUCUGAGAGAAUGAAGCAUGUGCUGAGAGAAGAGAGAGAGAGAAAAAGUUGACAGAAGAGAGAGAGAUGAAGCAAAACAGAAACCUGAAUUGUAGUUUCUCUCAGCUUUCUCUCGUUCUUCUAGCCAUCUAGCAGCACUCAAAGAGAAUAAUUCUUUUUGACGCUUUAAUUAUGCAGUGAGUGCUACUAUAUGACUAGAAGAACGAGACAAAGCUGAGAGAAACUACAAUCUAGGUUGCCGUUUUGCUUCAUCUCUCUUUUUUGUCAGCUUUUUUUCUCUCUCUCUUCUCUCAGUACAUGCUUCAUUCUCUCAGCUCUCUCUCAUUCUUCUUGAUACUUAGCAUUUUCCUUAUGUAAUUGAUCCCCUGCAUUGGGAUUGUACCGUUAUAUAUUAUUUGCUGUUUGUUUUUUAUUUAAGAUCUGAAUAAGUUUAAAUUAGUAUGAAUUUUAAAUAAAUUUAAAUGCAUGAAUUUGAAUAACGUAUUUAUUUAUUUUUUGUCACAAACUUUGAGAAUAAAUAUUAAGUUAUUUUUAACUUCAAAAAUCUAAAAUCAAAACCUUUACAUUUGUGUCCUUACAAUUUUAAAUGUUAAAUAUAUAAUGAACAUCUCAAAGAAUAUAAAUAAGAUAGUAUUUUAUCAUAAUAUAUUUAUAUUUUGUAUGAAUUUUAAAUAAAUUUAAAUGCAUGAAUUUGAAUAACGUAUUUAUUUAUUUUUUGCCAGAAACUUUGAGAAUAAAUAUUAACUUUUAACUUAAAAAAUCUAAAAAUCAAAACCUUUACAUUUGCGCCUUUACAAUUUUAAAUGUUAAAUAUAUAAUGAACAUCUCAAAAAAUAUAAAUAAGAUAGUAUUUUAUCAUAACAUAAAUGGUGCUCAGUGAAUGCAACCUAUUAAUAUUCUAAAUUAGAAUUAUAUUAAUAAUAAAUUCAAAAAAAAAAAGAGGAUUAGAUUUUAUACUGCUGUAUCGUACAUCCGCCUUGGCCGUACAGCAGAAUAUUUUUCAAUGAUGUGAUUCAAAAUUUUCAGAUUAAGUAAAAAGCUAAACAAAAUAAUUAGCUUAAAAACUUAAUGACUUAUCAAUCACUAAAUUUUUUUAUUAAAUUGAAAAAAUUAACAGAGUUAUGGUCCAUUUAGGAUUUAUUUCGGGAGGUGCUUUUGAAAAGUUUAAAAGGUAAUUUUGAUGUUUGACAAAUUUUUUAAAAAAUCACUUUUAGCAAAAUCACCGUAUCAUACAACAAAUUUUUAAAAGUAGAGAAAGAGUAGUUUUUUAAAAUUGGAUUUCGAGAAUCCCUUUUAUACUUAAUACAAUUUCAUAUAUAUUCUUAUAUAUAGGAAAAAAUCCAAAACCAUCCUUAUAAAUUAGAAAAUAAAAUUAUUAAUUUUAAAGAGAUUAUUAUUAUUACCAAUUCUAUUGAGAUAACAAAAUAAAAAAUAAAAUUAAAAAUAUAAAACAUUUAUUUUAGUUAUCAAUUAUUAUUUAUACACAACUAAAAAUAUUUUAUUUACAUGUUUAUAAAUGUGUAAAUAAUUUUUAUUCAACAAUAUGUUCAAUUUAAUUAUUUACAUUGUUAAAACAUUUUAACAGUAAGAUUUACUAAACAUUUAAUUGAUUCUCUAUACAGCUUAUUAUUUUUACAGUAUAGCUAACAACAAUUAUUUUAAAAUUUAUAACAUUAUCAAACUGACCCUUAGUGACUUAAUUGACUAAAAUUAAGUCAAUUAAAUCAUUAAGUUAGGAAAACAAACUGCCCUUUAGUAAAUUUCUUAAUGCAAAUAUUAUUAAACUAUAAUGUAAUUAAAAAUAAUAAUCUCUUCCUCUAUUCACUUUUUUAAUUACAAUUAGUUUCAGUAGCUAUUUUGAAUGACAAACUGAAUUGAUCGCGAUAUAAUAAUCUCUUCUUUCAAUCAUAUGAGCAUGUUUGAGCCACUGAGGUAGCUGUGGGAAUUUGUUUUCGUUGAUUUCUGCACUGGGCUUUUUAGGAUUAUUUGUAAAGGCAUUAAUUAAGUAUUUUUAAUGGGUUUAUAUGUAAAUUAGAUUGUAUGUAAUAUUAAAGGUUUGUCAACCAAACUGGCAACCAUUAAUUAAGUUAAAAUCCAUUCGUGUCAGUAUUUAAGAUACGUGUCACAUUCUGGCAACAAUCUUAAUAUGUGUUUCCAUUCGAACUUUCCACUGGCUGCUUGACCCAUCUAAGUUAUGAAAAGUUUCUGAGAAAAUGAAAAAAUAAUCCAUGGCCGUGGAAAUAAUAGAACGCCGCCAGCUGUAUUGUAUGAUUCUAUGAGCGAUUUAUCAUUUCUUUUUUCUUUUUAUUUCGACAAUUUAUUACUGACUACUGUAUUGCAGGCUUGUAGCCAUUAAGUGUUUGGAUAAUUUAUCCCAUUAUUUUCAAAUAUAAUCCAGAUAUAAUUCUAGAUUAUGCUGGUAGAAACAUCGUCUCAAAGAUUCUAUUGGGUCAUCAAUAGCUGUAUAUAUCUUGAAGGGGACUAAUUUUUCUAGGAUAUGCUGGUGGAAAAUUUUGCACCACGUAACUACUAUGAAUGAGUCUUUGUUGCUUAAUUAAGACUCUAAUCUCUCUUUCUAGACUGCAAGAUAAGUUUAAGCUAGAAACAUUAUAUCAAGGUGUACACAUUUUCAUCAAAUAUAAUUGUAGACUUUCUGGUCACACAUUUUACCAUUUAGUCCAUAAUUUUUCAAAAUACCUAUUAUGUUUCUAAUAUUAUACUUUUAUGUUUGAAUUAGUCUGUUGAACUAUACAUGUGACUUUUUAACAUAGAAUACCCUACAUACCUUUUAGUAGGGGAUUUAAAAAAAAGAGCGCAUUAUAUUAAACUAAGGUAGCAUUUGUUUUUUUUUUUUUUUGUCUGAAAUCUAAAUGAAUCUGAAUUUUUCUAAAGUCUGAAUGGGUCUGAUUACGAAAAUUUAAAUAAUAUGUUUAUUUUUCUUUUUUAAAUAUCUGAAUAUAAGUGGCAUUUUGUUUGUUUUUAAAAUAAAAACAUCUUAAACUUAGUUAUUUGACAUUUAUGUCCUUGUAAAUUCAAAAAAAAAAAGAGAAUUAGAUUUUAUAGUUUAGGAAAUAAGUUAUUUUACAGAGAUAUUUUUAGAAUAUAAUAUUUACUUGUCUUUCAGACCUUUUUUCAUACAGAUAAAAGUCACAAAGUUUAUUUUUUCUAUUCAUAUGUAAAUGUCUGAAAAUCAGACAUAAGUUCCAAAAAAACAAACAAGUAUAUUUUAGAAAAGAUCUGAAAUUAAUAAAAUUUCAAACUUCAGACAUUUAACAAACAAUCUCUAAGUGUAUGUUUAAUAUGAUUUAUCUAAUGGUCAUAAGUGCUUAUCUAAUCCCAUAAAUUCCUUUUAAAAUUAUUAUUAUUGUUUGAUUGCAUUUUAAGUAAAGUUUUUAAGGAUUAAAUAAAUUUUUUUGUCUCUACUAACAAAAGCUUAAAUUUUAAAAUUUUGAGAGUAUAGAUUAGAGAGACCUUUUAAAAAGUUAAAUCGUCCAAAAUGUUCCAUUAUUUAUUUCACAAUAUUAUGACAUCUCUCUCUCUCUCUCUCUCUCUCUCUCUCUAUAUAUAUAUAUAUAUAUAUAUAUAUAUAUCUUAAUUUUAAAAAUUGAUCUAUUAAAAUAAUUUUAUAUAAUUUUUAACAAAGAUCUCAUCGACAACCAAACAACUAAAAUUUCUUUAAUAAAAGCUUCACUUAUAAAAAUUUUACUAACAAAAAUUUUAUUUGAAUAAAUUUUAUCAGAAAAAUUAUACCAAACGAAGCUAACAAUAAGAUUAUAAUAGUAAAAGAAUUCAAUAAUUGCACUCUUAAUGUUACCAUUUAAAAAUUAUUAAGUUAAGAAUGAAAUAGGUAAUUUGGGAAACCCAUCUGGAGGGAUUUGCUUAACAUCCUUUAAAAUUUUUUCCCAGCUGGAAGUAAUUGCUGAACAUCCUUUUCAAUUCCCGAGUAUUAUCUAAUCAGCUUAUUUUGUCAUUUUUAGGUGUUUGCAAAGGCUUUUGGCAAGGAUACUGGGUUGGCUUACGUGUAGUGGACUGAUCAUGUUGACUUUGUUCGGUAGCACAUUUUAUUUUACGCGUGUCUAGUUGUAACCAUGUCUCUCACUGUAUACACCAGUGUGAGUGGGUCCACCUACUAUUUUAUGACAAUUUAUGUUAUACUGACAAUAUUAUUCGUGCUGAUCACAAGUUUGAAGUUUUGCUUCUCUCGAAGAACUGGCUCCUUUCAUUUAUUUAUUUAUUAAAAUUUACAUUUUUUUUCCGUUUCCUUGCAAGAAAGGUAAUUAGAUUAAAUUUAACGGGGCGAUGAUGUUUUCCAUUAAAUAAGUAAAACACAAUUUUAUGCCAGAGUAGAAAUGGCCAAUCAAAACAAGGGUUAUCCAUGUUCGUGCCAUGCCGUCGUGUGCUUAAUUUUUUUUUCUCGUACCUUGCCCAUAUGUGUUGUGUUGUGUCUAAAAAGAAGUUCAAUAAUUUUUUUUAGUUUUUUAAAAGCACGUACUAAGUAAUUGAAUGCUGCUUACUUAUAACACAAUGCUCGCGAAAUAGUAAACUUACCGAUUUGAGCCCUGGAAGCAAUUUUCGCUCAGAGAGAAUCUUCAAAUCUUGUUCUGACAUGUGGCCAAGUUUGAGAUGCCACAUCAUCGUUGACUCUUCUCCAUUUGAUGCGACACACGCAUCAGCCUCCUGUAGUGUUUCUCCUUUAAGCAUGAAUAGAUUAGCACCGAUCUUUUCUGCCUUCAUCAAUACAAGCGCUCCUUUAACAAUCUUCAUAAUUUCAUUCUCCACAUAAGUUUUGCACCCAUGACUGUCUAUUUGUCCCAAAGACAAUAGAUUUUUUUUUAGGCCAUUGACAUGUCGUACCUCCCCAAUUGUGCUAAUUGUACCAUCAAAUAUUUUUAUUUUGAUAGUACCAAUACCAGCGAUCUCCAAGGCAUGAUCAUUACCCAUAUAUACAGAUCCUCCUGAGAUAGGUUCAUAUGUGUGGAACCAUUUUCUCCUAGAGGUCAUGUACCAGGUAGCUCCUGAGUCUAUAAGCCAGACAUCAGAUAGUCGUUUUCUGCCUUCUGAAACAAUUGUUGCCUCGCUGUAAAGAAUUUCGCCAUCAUCCGAGGUACUUGCUACACACCCCUGAGCAUUUGAUGACUCAGGUUCUUUGUCGUACAUGUGUCAUCUAGUCCAUUGGCCAUCUCUACGCCAGAGUGACAAUAUGCCACAUUGAGAAGAAUUGUGUGCCCCUAAAGCUGGAUUAAUAAUUUAAUUUGAAUUGACAUCUAUAACAGUUGUAGGCUAACCAAUAUUUCCACAGAAAAAAGUAGUUCAAAAUUAUUGGUCGCAUCUUGUCAUAAAUUUUUUAACUCUGCGCAGUUGGUGUAAUAGUUUCGGCUGCUAUUCUCUUUACUACUAGAGCCUAGAGAUGGAGUGAAGCAUAUUGGGAAUUAGGAAAAGAGAGUUGCUUCCUUACAAUUAGGCAGGCGCUAAGUUACGGUUAACGUAACUUACGCCCACACACAGUAACAGUACCACUGGUGGGGCCUGGUACUGUUGCUACGUAAGUUACGUUAUGCCGAGUAGUGUUGUGCCCUAGAAUCUGUUCUACAUUUGCAGUUGUGACUGUUGAGCCAACUUGAUUUGCAAUGCUUUUAGGGAUAUUGUGCCCUGAAAAUUAAUCAAAACUACUUGUUAAAAAGAUUCCGUUUCGUUUUGAAUUUUUUUGUGCCUUUUACUAUUUUAUCCCUAUAAUUAGACUUAUGAUACAUAAAAUGUCAACAAUUAAUCAAUAAGAGAAAAAAAUUAGUCAUAAGUCUGAUUUUAAUGGUAAAAUAAAAAAUAGACAAAAAAGUACAAAGUUUACGUAAUCAUUUUAAUGCCAAAGAGUUUUAAUGAGUUUUGAAACGUAAGGAGAAAAAUAAUAAAUCUACUAGAACAAUAGGAAGAUUUUGAUCAUUUUCCCACUGAUAUAAAGAAAAACGAUACACACCACACGUCUUGAUAUUGAAAUCGUUGAUGGCGACACAAAAAUCCUGAAGACGGCUAGGGUCAGAGGCAAUGGCCAAUGAACAAGCCAAAACCAAGAGAACAGAAGCUACAGGAAAUUGAACUCCUUUCAUGUUGAUUAGCCACAUGCAAUUCCUUGCUACAUGCAUGCAAAUGUUCAACAUUAUGUGUGAUUGCUCUUAUCAAGCGACAUCAACUAGUCAUCUACCAAUUGAUCUUGGGGCUCAAUAGAAUCUGUUUCACAUCAGAUUUUGCAUAACAAAAAGUAAUGAAGAGAUUAAUUAAUAUAUGUGUGUGUGUGUGUGUACGGAAAAAAUAUAUGUAUAAGGAGAGGCAUGGGAAAGGCUUAGCUGCUAAAUAAAACCAACCAUAAAUUAUGUUUAUUACAUGGCUACAAUCAGCCUGAAGAGAGGUUCAUGAGAGAGCUUUUUUUUUAACAUUAAUUAAGAUAUGAUAAUCUGGAGCUAAAACAAUAAAGCCACUAGUGAAGAGGCCAUUUAUAUUAAAGCUCAUUAAUUCCUUCUCCUAAUCGCCAUUAAUGAACUUAUGCUGAAGAUCUUUCACUGUCUUCGGGUCCAACUGGAACGCCUUGGCAAGAAAAUCGGGAUUGAUUGGAGGAUUGGCUCCAAAGACCGCGUCGGCUAUGGUAAUUUCACCGGGGAACUGGCUGUUUAGAGCAGAAUAGGCAACUGCAUUUGUUUUUCCAACGUUGAAUUGGAAGUGAAUCAAACCUUUUGGAAACACAAAAGCAUCUCCCUUAUUCAGAACUUUUGCGAUGAGUUUGUUAUUUAGCUGGUCUGAUGUCACAAAACCGACAUGAAGAGUUCCNNNNNNN
rnacentral:lncRNA from 1 species